UUUUAUGAGAGUUUGAUCCUGGCUCAGGACGAACGCUGGCGGCGUGCCUAAUACAUGCAAGUCGAGCGGAUGAAGAGGAGCUUGCUCCUUGGA
rnacentral:rRNA from 1 species